rnacentral:pre_miRNA from 1 species
GACCUCCCUCUUUGGGGCAAUCAAUCGCGGGGCUCCGCGAUCGAUGGCCACGCAGAGGGAGGCC